rnacentral:rRNA from 1 species
CACGUAGGGCGCAAGCGUUGUCCGGAAUUAUUGGGCGUAAAGAGCUCGUAGGCGGUCUGUUGCGUCUGCUGUGAAAACCCGCAGCUCAACUGUGGGCUUGCAGCUGAUACGGGCAGGCUUGAGUUCGGUAGGGGAGACUGGAAUUCCUGGUGUAGCGGUGAAAUGCGCAGAUAUCAGGAAGAACACCCGUGGCUAAGGCGGCUCUCUAGUACGGUACUGACGCUGAGACGCGAAAGCGUGGGGAGCGAACAGG